rnacentral:rRNA from 1 species
ACAUAGGGUGCAAGCGUUGUCCGGAAUUAUUGGGCGUAAAGAGCUCGUAGGUGGUUUGAUACGUCGGGUGUGAAAUUCAGGGGCUCAACCCCUGACCUGCAUUCGAUACGGUCAAGCUAGAGUUUGGUAGGGGAGACUGGAAUUCCUGGUGUAGCGGUGGAAUGCGCAGAUAUCAGGAGGAACACCGAUGGCGAAGGCAGGUCUCUGGGCCAAUACUGACACUGAGGAGCGAAAGCGUGGGGAGCGAACAGGAUUAGAUACCCUGGUAGUCCACGCCGUAAACGGUGGGCGCUAGUUGUGCGAACCUUCCACGGUUUGUGCGACGCAGCUAACGCAUUAAGCGCCCCGCCUGGGGAGUACGAUCGCAAGAUUA